rnacentral:lncRNA from 1 species
CUCCAGAAAUAGGACAGCAGCCAUUCCAGGUAGCAGGGGAAUGGCCCUUCCUCACUUUCUGACGAUUUUUUUUUACGCUCUUCUGUCUUUGGGGAAAGCGGCAGGCUAAGGAAAACCGGGAAGCCACGCAGACCUCUGCCUGUGACACAGCACGUGGGCUGGCCUCUGGCAACUGACAGAGGGAACAUUGCUGCUGAUGCGAAGAAAAGUCAUCAGAGAUUCUAAAAAAUAACGACUAUGGCGGAUAAGCAAGGAGGGACAGGAGGUGACCAAGGCCACAGUGGGGAGAGACCUAGCAGAGAGAGCACCCACCUCAAUCAGGCCACAGCCGGGACGGAGGUUCUGAGCCACGUCUCCUGAGUUCAUUUACUCGGUGGAAGUCAAUCUUAAUUGUCAAUUCGAUGAGAUUUUUAAUCGCCAUGGAAACAGACCUCUGAGCAUGUCACGGAGACAGUUUCUAUAUCAGGUUAAUCGAGGUACAUCUGAGGUACAACAGUCUACCUCAUAGUGGCCUCUGACAGUCCAAAGCACGAGCGGUCAUUGCCAGGGCAGCUCCAUUGUCUGCCAGAGCCCUCUCUGCUCUGCUUAUAGCUGUCUCAUGCCAGCCGAGUCGCUUCAGCAUGCAGGUGCCUGCCUCUGCUCACCCCCUGUCAGUUCCCAGAUCAGAGACACCAGGAUGCCCCCCGUAAAAAAUUUUCUUCUUUAAGUUGCCUUGGUCAUUGUGUCUAAGUAGCUAAGACACCUUGCUCGGUUUUAAACUCACUCAUUCAAAACCAAAACCAUAGCUUUCAUAAACCAUUCUCUGGACUGUACAGAACAACUCCUUAAGGCAAACACAUAUCUGUGGAUUCUAUAUAUGGCCAAGCAGAAUAAUUCUGCUGAACUCUUAUGAAUUCAUCGAUUGUUAUUUUUCUAAAGAAGAAGUUUUAUUCUUAGAAUCUCAAAGGAAAAAAAUUCUGAGCUUGAUAUGAGUACAGUGUGGUAACCUGAAACGGAGCCUGAAACAGAUGAAAGAGAAUCAGUUUAACAACCGGGUGAACUCUGUGUAGAUCUGUACUGAGUAGAAAUUAUUCUGUGUUCAUCUCUGGGUUCUGACAAGAACUCCAUCAUUGUACAAGAUGUGAACACUGA